AUUGAACGCUGGCGGCGCGCCUAAUACAUGCAAGUCGAGCGAGAAGGUGUAGCAAUACACUUGUAAAGCGGCGAACGGGUGAGGAAUGCAUGGGUAACCUACCCUCGAGUGGGGAAUAACUAGCCGAAAGGUUAGCUAAUACCGCAUACGUUUCCGGAACUUCGGUUUCGGAAAGAAAGCAAUACCGUGGGUAUUGCGCUCCUGGAUGGGCUCAUGUCCUAUCAGCUUGUUGGUGAGGUAACGGCUCACCAAGGCUUCGACGGGUAGCUGGUCUGAGAGGACGAUCAGCCACACUGGCACUGCGACACGGGCCAGACUCCUACGGGAGGCAGCAGUAAGGAAUAUUGCGCAAUGGACGAAAGUCUGACGCAGCGACGCCGCGUGGGGGAUGAAGGUCUUCGGAUUGUAACCC
rnacentral:rRNA from 1 species